UAGCUGAGGCCUUCCACCCCCCACCCCUCAGCCAGGUGGAUCAUUUAAGCUCCGUCCUGGGGGCUCAGUCCUCAUCUGAGAGUUGUUGGAGAAUCACUGCUGUCCAGCUCAGCUGCAGUCAUGCCCGUUUCAGGCUGUGGAUGCUAUUGAUACUGACCCAUGGACUGAUUUCCUGGCUUGGACUUGGGCCUGUCCCGUCACCGUGGACCUCCCUAGUGAUCCCUGGGCUGUGUCUGACCUGAUUACCCUGGUUUCAUCGUGACUCUGACUUGUGCUCUCUGCCUUAUCACCGGAAAGUGAGCUCUUAGAUGACUCUGGCUGUCACUCUGGGACUGCCCUGCUCAUCUUGCUCAGUGUGCAGCGGAAUGUCCCUAAUCUGAAAGCUGCUACACUGCCUGCCUAUCAACAUGCAAAUUAAUCAUCAAGUGACGAGUCCCAUAUUUGCUCUAAGUAAAAGCCUUUAAAGCAUAGCAAUGAGCCUGAUGCUUUGGAGCCAUCGAAGUAGAGGGGGAAUCUUUUGGUGCCCUGAGAACUGGAAAGUUUUGCCGUUGGAAGAUCUGAGAUCCCAAGUGGCGGGCAGAGAGCUGUGAGGAGGCUAACAGGCUGGGAAGAAGCACACCAGGGCAUGGAGAAUUUGGAUCGCAUAUCCUACCGCAGGGAGGACAGAG